GCCCUCUGAUGCCCCGGAAGUUAAGCAGGGUCGGGGAGGGUCACGGUGCGGAUGGGGACGGUGCGGAUGCUGGAGCACUGAGGACAGCCGGCAGCAGGGGCUCUGCUCGGGGGGCCCUGAUGCCCUGAAAGCUAAGCAGGGUCAGGGAGGUGAAGUCAGUGUCCUUCCGGGGCCGGAGACUACUAGGGCAGGACCUGCCGGUGCCCACCGGCUACGUGGGGCUGGUGCUGAAGGAGGAUGAGAAGCCCUGCUCGGAGGAUGAGGAGCGGCGGGUGCACGUCAAGUCAACCUUCACGGAGCUGACGGCCUGGACCCGGGAGCAGGCGCCCAGCGCCGACGACGCCCUGCAGGGGGCACUGGGCUGGCCCCACAUCGCCCAGGCCAUCCAUGCGCCGGUAGCAGAUGAGGAGGGGCCCUGAGAGGCCCCGGAGAAGAGGCACCAUUUAGGGCUGGGUUGGGUUUUUUUGGGGGGGGGGCAGGGGUCUUGGAGACCCCAGGUCUUUGCUGGUAAUACACAGAGCUCUGAGGCACCAGUGUGGUCCAUGUGGUG